rnacentral:rRNA from 1 species
UACAGAGGUCUCAAGCGUUGUUCGGAUUCAUUGGGCGUAAAGGGUGCGUAGGCGGCGCGGUAAGUCGGGUGUGAAAGCCCCGGGCUCAACCUGGGAACUGCAUUGGAAACUGGCAAGCUCGAGUAUGGCAGAGGGGGGUGGAAUUCCGCGUGUAGCAGUGAAAUGCGUAGAGAUGCGGAGGAACACCGAUGGCGAAGGCAGCCCCCUGGGCCAAUACUGACGCUCAGGCACGAAAGCGUGGGGAGCAAACAGG